GAACGAUUAAAGCUCCCUUCGGGGAGUGCAUAAAGUGGCGCACGGGUGAGUAACACGUAAGUAAUCUACCCUCGAGUGGGGAAUAACAGUCGGAAACGACUGCUAAUACCGCAUAAUGCAGCGGCACCUUAUGGUGACAGUUGUUAAAGGAGCAAUCCGCUUGAGGAGGAGCUUGCGGCAGAUUAGCUUGUUGGUAAGGUAACGGCUUACCAAGGCUACGAUCUGUAUCCGGCCUGAGAGGGCGGUCGGACACACUGACACUGAAUAACGGGUCAGACUCCUACGGGAGGCAGCAGUCGGGAAUUUUGGGCAAUGGGCGAAAGCCUGACCCAGCAACGCCGCGUGAAGGAUGAAGUAUUUCGGUAUGUAAACUUCGAAAGAAUGGGAAGAAUAAAUGACGGUACCAUUUAUAAGCUCCGGCUAACUACGUGCCAGCAGCCGCGGUAAUACGUAGGGAGCAAGCGUUGUUCGGAUUUACUGGGCGUAAAG
rnacentral:rRNA from 1 species